UACGUAGGGUGCGAGCGUCAAUCGGAAUUACUGGGCGUAAAGCGUGCGCAGGCGGUUCGUUGUGUCCGUCGUGAAAGCCCCGGGCUUAACCUGGGAACUGCGAUGGAAACUAGCGAGCUGGAGUGUGGCAGAGGGGGGUGGAAUUCCGCGUGUAGCAGUGAAAUGCGUAGAGAUGCGGAGGAACACCGAUGGCGAAGGCAGCCCCCUGGGCUAACACUGACGCUCAGGCACGAAAGCGUGGGGAGCAAACAGG
rnacentral:rRNA from 1 species